UUUUUUUUUUUGUUCUAUGUUAUGUUUCUAUUUUUCUUUUUCCAGUUUUGUCUAUUUUUAUUUCCUAUUGUUUUGUAUUUUUUUCAAUUUUAUUUUUCUUUCUACCUUUUUCGUAAAUUCAAAAUUUUCAUAAAAGUUCAUAAUAUCCAAAAAUUCAAUUUUUAUAUGUUCGAGAUUUUAAAUAAUAUACUCUUUUGAAAAAUGUUCAGAAAGUUAAAUCUUUGUUCUCAUUCAGAAAUUGGUUUAGAUUUUUAAAACAAUGUUCCAUUUUUUCUUUGUGUUUUCCAAAGUUGUUCGAGAUUUUUUUAAAGAAGAAUUUAAAAAAAAUUCCAAAUAUGAAAAAUAUUCUUGUUUUAGUGAAAGGUUCGCAAAUUCAGAAUAAUGUCAAGAAACACAUUUUCAAAAAUUGUUCUCAAUGUUCAAAAUAUGUUUCAUAUUUAAAAAAAAUCAUAAAUUCAAAACAUGUUCAUGUUAUUAUAAAGGGUUUAGGUUUUCAAAUAAAAUUGUGAAUUUUGAGUGUUUCAUAAUUAAUUGUGUAUUUAUGAAAGUGUAAAGAAUUUCAAAAAAUGUUCGGGAUUUUCAAAAUUAUUCAUGUUUUCAGGAAUGUUCAACAAUUUAUAUUUUUUAAACAGUUCAAAAAAAUGUUUCGAUUCUGACUUUAGAGUAUGAUCUUAAAGGUUUGAGCUGGCCAUUGUUUGGUAGGACUCGUUUCUUUGAGUGGCUAGUAGCAUGUAGUCGGGUCUUUGAGCGCAUGAUUUUGAUCCCUCAACUCAUCAUUUUUUUGAUUUUUUUUCGUGCCUUACUAACACAGGUCGUCUUGGCGACUACGAGUGUAUGUCCCAUGCGCUAUUUUACGCAACUGGCGUCAUAUAGUAGCCCCCACGCAGUUGGCCCAAGAAACAAAUUGCUCCGUCGCAUAGGUUAUAUUAUCCUUCAGCCGCGCUCCCUUACUGGGUCGUUCGAGGGAGCAAUUUUUUUUCCUUGGGCCAAUAAAAGAGAAUAUAUUUGUUUGGCUCGAAUAAAAAAAUUGUGGGAACGCGAGCGCUAAACUAAUCAAAGAGAAUAAACCCUAAUAGAGAAGGGACAUUGGUGUCUGGUUAUGCGCUAAAUAUGCUAAUGAAAUGGGAUUUAUGCGCUACAAUUAGUAAUCCAUCCGGUUAUGCCAUCGUAAGAAAGAAUGGUCGAAGCAACUGUGCCCCGAAGGUCACCGCAUAGCUACCAAAUAUGGAGGCAGACACAAUCCCUAGACAGAGGCGGACCCCAAGGAAAAAAAGGCACGAGUUGGAUGGUUGCCGCCACACCGACUAACGCCACCACUAUCAAGAUCUCGUGGAACAAACAUGACCCAAGAGAAGACCACAACUCCUCUCUCUAUUGCACCACUAUGGAGAUCAUUUUUGGUGGACACAUCAAUUAUCUCUCUCCUUGCUUCUACAAAGAAACAUCUCUCCCGUUGCAACGCACGGGCAUAUGUGCUAGUUGUAAUACCAAUGCCUCCAAUUCAUUAUUUCUUAAGGAACUUCAUUACUUUAUUUUUAUUUUCGUUUUUUGUUUCAUUUUACUUUUUUUUUCCUUUAAGGAUAAUACUCAUGCCACUAAAUUCAUUCCUUCUUAGAAACUUCAUUUUUUCGAAAUUCCACUAUUAUAUGUGUAUUCUUCCAUCUUAUAAGAAAGCAUAAUUUCUUUGUAAAUUGUGCAUAAUUUUUUUCCGUUUUGAUUUUCUUAAAGGGCAGUACCAAUGCCACUAAUACAUUCUUUCUUAGACAACUUCAUUAUUCUUAUUUUGUUUAAUUUUUAUUUCAUUUCUUCUUCUAAAAGGGUAAUACCAAAGCCAAUAAUUCAUUCUUUCUUAUAGGUACUUAUUAUUAUGAUUUUAUUUUAUUUCUUAUGUAUUUUUUUAAUGGUUAACCAAUGCCAGUAAUUCAUUCUUCUUAUGAAAAUUAAUUUGUGUGUGAAAAAUCUACUAUUUUGUGUUUGUUCUUGCAUAUUGUACAAAAGUGCAAAUUUUGUGUAAAUUGUGUGCAAAUUUUGUCAAUGUUUGGUUUAGAAUUUUUUUUCUUUUAAACGGUAAUAUCAAUAGCACUAAUUCAGUCUUCCUUAGAAAAUGUCAUUAUUUUGAUUUUUUUUAGUUUUUAUUUAUUUUGUUUCUUCUCUAAGGAUAAUGCCAAUGCAUUAAUUAAUUCUUUCGUAGGAAACUUUUUGUUGUCAAAUUUCUAUUAUUAUAUGCUUGUAGUUGCAUAUUAUAAAAACACAUAUGUAAAUUGGUUGGAAAUUUGGUCAUUGUUUGUCUUUUUAUUGGGUAAUACCAAUACCACCAAUUCAUUCUACCUUAGAAAACUAGAUUUUUUAAUUAAUUUUCUUUCUGCUUUAAGGGAAUACGAAUGCAGCCGAUUCAUUCCUUCUCAGGAAGCUUCUUUUUUGGAAAAACAAAAUCCACUGGUAUGUGUCUAUUCAUGUAUAUUAUAAAACAACACAAUUUCAGUGUAAAUUUUAUGCAAAUUUAUGAUUAUUUUUUAAUUUUAUUUCAUUUUUUUCUUCUUAAAGAGUAAAUCUAAUGGCACUAAUUCAUUUUUAUUAAAAAAAUCAUUAUUUUGAUUUUGGUUUCAUUUGUAUCUUAUUAAAGGGUAAUACAAUGCUACUAAUUCAUUUCUUCUUAGCAAUUAUAUGCUUAUUAUUGCAUAUUAUAAGAAAAGUGCAAUUUAUGUGUAAAAUUUGUCCUUUUUUUAGUUUUUGCAAAGCAUUUUUCUUGGUCAUUUGCUCUAUACCAGCGUUAUUUCUCAUUGCAUCUAGAUUGUAUAUGUACUGUAGCAAGUGAUGGGACAGAACUACUUUGUUCUGCCCGCAUGUGGACUGCAAAGGUCAAAACACGAAGUCCCUCUCACACUUGACUCUCACACACACACACACGCAUUAAAUUUCUAUGACAUGCAUACACUACACGCAACGCAGUUUCUCUCGCGAGCUCAUUCUCAUUUGUAUAUUUCCCCCAUGCAUACACACCGCACAAAUACACACUAACACACAGCAAAAAGAAAAAUCUCUGACGAGCUCUCUCUCCUCUCAUUAAAUCUCUGACAUGCAACACAACACCAUCUCUCUCACAAGCGCGCGCGCUCUCUCUCUCUCCUGGCGCUUUCUCCCUCUUAGGAUUAUUGCUGCUGUGCUCUGCAAAUUGCAAGAGAGUAGCACCCCGGACCCCGGUCCAUCCCGACAACUGACACUCUCCGCCCCGAGAGGCCGAGACCAACGAUGCUAGUAUGCUACACCUACGGCUACGGACUGUUGUUACGGAUGGAUGUGUCAAAUUAUGAUUGGAGAUUAGCGGAAGAGUGGCCCACAAGGGGAUGAGGUAACUGGUGGGAGAGUUUUCCGUAAGACCAAUCAAUCCGUAGAGAAUUGUCCGUGAACGUAUCAUUUUUGCCGACACACAGGUGUAUACAUGCAGCAUGAGUUUUUGUCAAGGCAGGGAAAUAUCAGGCGCAGCGCGGCGUGGGUGUGUUGGCAGGAAUAUGGUUCUAGUGGCACGAGGGAGGCCUUGCGUGGUUGCAUGUGGAAAGACAAGGAAAACGAAUCAAUCAGCUGGACGACGUGGCUGAGAGUGCAAUAUAAAAAGCUCUUUUAUUUUAUCCUGCCUUUCCAUUUCGUUAUUAUUAUAUUCAUGUGUAGUGCUCGAUGGUGAUAGCUGCCAACUCUGUAAUUCCGUCUGUGGUGGUAAUAUUAAGGACACAUGUUCCAUGCGGUGGUGGUUGCUCCUCAAAGUCGAAAACCCAUUCUGUCGGUUCGUUUCUGUUCUGUUAAAACCGACUGUUGUCAAGUCUGAAUCCAUGCUAGUCCUGACCGGUUGUUGCUGGUCAACCGUGCAUACAUCCACCAUGAGUACCAAACAUAUACUCUGAGAUCAGCUCAGCUGACAUCAUGAUGUUUACUUGUGCCGUUUUGCUAAUCAUUAGGUGCCUGAAUUUUUUUCCCGCGUCAGUCAGUCGAUUUUGAGCAAGAUCGAAGAUGGGGGUGACGUGACGAGCAGCAGUGAGGAUUGUUGACCCCGGCGAGCCCGAACCUAGACCUCAUUGGAAAUGGGGGCGUCGCUGCGAGACGUCGUCGGAGAAGACAAGGAAGAGGAUUGACUGGUGCGGUUGGGGAGAGUGGGCUGCCGUCGACGGAAAAGAUUUAGGUCCGGAGGCGGAGUAUAUAUAGAUCGGAUGCAUGCCAGGCGAGCAGAAAGGGCAAUGAUGGCAUGGGUGCAACACGAGGACGGGUGCAAAGUGAGGUACUCCCUCCGUUCAAAAUAUAGUGUUUCCUUUAUUUUUGUGUUUCAACUUUGACCAUAAAUUUAACCAACGAAACCGACUGCGGCGGGAGCAAAAGUUAUACCAGUGAAUUCGUAUUCAAAAGAAGUUUUCAAUUAUAUAUUUUUUUCUCCCGCCACAGUCGGUCUCGUUGGUUAAAUUUAUGGUCAAAGUUGAAUAUCGGAAAGCGCGGGCGCACUAUAUUUUAAAAUGAAGGGGGUACUUACUAAGCUAAGCACAUACAGUAUAUCACUUGUCAGCUCAAAACAGUGGACGGUCGGUUAUGAUUUCUUGAUGCCACUCUCUUGGACGGACAGACAAGGUGUAGGUAGGUAUAUAUGCAGGACAGGAGGGAGGCCUUGCAAAUGGUUGCUUGUGGAGCUGGAGAUUCCAUCCUUGUUGGUGGCUUCUUGUUUCUUUCUGCAACAAGGAGUUGGGAAAUGCUUUUCUUUCCGGCCGGUAGGUGUUGUGGCCGUUUCUUUUCGACCCAUUCGUUCGUGUGGUAUGCAGGGUGGUCGUAGCACCAACCAACUCCCUAGGUAAUUCUGUACAAGUACUAUUUGUAGUACUAGUAUGCGUGCUCGCGCAAUGCACGUCUUUACAUUACAGAGUGAUUUUUGCGAAAAUAAGUCAUGAAAAUGCCGAAGAAAUGAUUCAAGACAUAUGACCAUCAUGCAUCUACGGACUAUGUAAUUUGCACAAAAUUUGGGGUACCUAUUGCAGAAAAUACAUAGAUGAACCCACAUCGAAAACACAAUUUUAAAUGACAAAAAAAAUUCUGAAAAAGUAUAUAUGAACUCGCUUUGGAAAACAAAUGUCCAAAUGACAAAAAAAAUCUGAAAAAUGUGGCACUCCUUCGUCUCCCUCCAUGUUCUAUGUGAUCAUAGAAAGUUUCGCGGAAAAACAACUUUCUUUACAUGUGCAAAAAGAGGAAGAAAACAUGUCUUGAAACGCUAUUCAGAAGCACCAAAUUUUGUUUUUUAUGCGGAGGCAAAAUAAAAAAGAUAUUUUUUUCGUUUUUGUUCCCCGCACAUAUUUUGUGAAGAUGUACGCAUUUUUUUUGCAAUUCUUGAUAUUUUAAAACAUAUUUAAAAUGCAUUUUUAAAAAAUGGGUUCAUGUAUGCUCCCUCCGUCUCAAAAUAAAUAAUUUUAGUAAAGUUAGUACAAAUUUAAAACAUAUUUAAAAAUGGGUUCAUAUAUUUUUUAGUAAAGUUAGUACAAAGUUGAGCCACUUAUCUUGGGAUGGAAGGAAUACAUUGUUUCAGAUAGUACGUACCCUACCUAUUGCUAUGUUUACUGUACUCCCUCCAUUUCAAAAUAUAGUACUUUCUCUAUUUCCAUGCUUCAACUUUGAUCAUAAAUCUAACCAACGAGACCGACUGCGGCGGGAGCAAAAAUUUAACCAACAAAAAAACACUAUAUUUUGAAAUCAAGGAAGUAGCAUUUACUACACCAAUCCGCCCAUAAAUGCACGCAAGGCAGUGAGGCCAUGUAUGUGCGCGAUGCACUGGUUAGAUUUGUUUACUUCAUUUUUUUUAUCGUUCUACUUUUUAUCUCCUGUCAGACUAUGUGGUACGUACCCCACUUGUUUCUCCUUCCAGACAUGCCAUGUACCCCAGUGAUGUGAAUAUGGCAUGGUCACUUUGUUUGCUCCAAUGAAUUGACAUGUAGUGCGUCCCUUAGAGCAACUUUAGUAGAUCCCGCAACCCGUCCCGACCCGUAAAAUAACCGUCAAAAUGUAGGUCGGACGAAAAAACCAGCCCGAUCAGACCCUGCAUCCCGCCCGACCCGUAAAAGAUUUUAGGGGGCGCGACAAAAUCCCGAUCCCAACCCAGGAAAACGCGGGUUUCCCCCUCGCGGCUGCGGUGCCCUGCAUAUAAGCAGAAGCGGUUGGGGGGGGGGGGCAUUUCAUCCCGCGCUUUCUCCCACCAACCACCUCUCCUCUCCCCCCUCGCGCCGCCGCCGGCCGCCGCCCAAGAUUCCGGCGACAGCAGUCGGCAGGAGCACGCCGGAAGGUCGCCACGCGCACGAGGCCUCCCCUCCCUUCUCCCCUGCGUCGGUGGGCCGCCGGAUUUGCAUAUCUGCGGCACUUCAUCGCGGGCCACCGGAUCUGGCUUUUUCCGGCCGCCGGUUGCUGCCCCAGGCAAUGGAGUGGUCGGAGAGCCUCUCCCGCAGCCCAUGCAAGGGCGCAUCGCCGCAUGCAGGCACGGGUUCGUCCGCCCGCCGCCGCCGAAGGUUUGCGGGCAUGGACUCGUCCGGCCGUCCACCGGGCUCAACGCUCGCGCAGCGUCUUUGUGGCCUGUCGAUGCCACUCAUAGAGUGCGACGACUGCCCGCGCCAAGUGCUGCGGCUCACUUCGGGCACACCGAAGCACCCCAAAUGGGUGUUCUACAAAUGCCAAAACGACGGGGUACGUGCACUUGCGGUAGCUCGUUCCAUAGCUCAUUCUUUAGUUCAAUUGCGGUUGCUCCACUUCGAGCUUGCUUAUUCUUUUGUGUAGGACGAUGGAUGCUCAUUUUGGUUUUGGGAAGGCCAAUACAUUGAUUUGUUGAUAGAAAGGAACUUAAUAGAUGUUAGUGCACUCCUUAGUACAAUCGAAAGCAAUGAUGCGGCUGCAUGUGCAACUAGAGGGGAAGCAACGUCUACUUCUUUGAAACAAAAGAUGAAGAACGAAGAAAGCAAGAUCAAGAAUCCGCAGAUCAACAAUGAGUGCAUGGAGAAUAUAUUGCUUCAACUAGUGGGAGUAGUUAUGGAAGUUGAAAAUCUUCUGAAAUGCAUACUUGUGGUUCUUGUUUUCUUUCAUUUUGCUAUUCUAGCCAAGAUUUGGUGAUAUCUUUUGUAUCUAAUGUUGUUGCAAAAGCAAAGAAAAGCAUUAUGCUAGAUCAAUUUAAGUUGCAAAUCUAAGUUUUACGGGCCGAGAGGAGCUGCGCCAGAUCAGAACCCGCAGAAGCCGACUCGUAAAAAGAGUGUAUUCCGCGAAUAUGCUUUUUUACGGGUCCAUUAUGCGGGGUGUGCAUCUGUGCCAGCCCACACCGGCCCGCAAAAGCGGUUUUGCGCGAACUGCAAACGCGUUUUGCGGGCCGACGGGAUGCGGGGUCUGCUAGAGUUGCUCUUACUCGAGUGCUAACCCGUAGAUGUAUCUGGAACAACCCAGAUAACACCAAAUUUUACUGUAGCAGCGAAUCCCUGCAAUAUAAGCCGUCGGAUGGGGCCCAAUUAACGGCCAGAAAUGCAUUUCAAUGUGUGAAUUCAAACAUUCAAAACUGAUACACUAUAUAGUAGUAUAGAUAUAGAUAUAGAUUAUUAAGCGCAUAGGCAGUAUCACACAUGUUCCAUGUGGUGGUUGGUGCGCGCUGGAUCAAAUAUACUCUGACCGGCCAUGCCCCUCCUCCCAACUCCACAACCGACACGGUCGGUUCAUUCCAGCUCCGUUCUGCUCCGUGAUGCUGAACUCCGAACUGAUGGCACAGUUGUAGGUUAACCAUGCGUGCCGCCGUCAUAUACUUCCUCCGUUUCAAAAUAAAUAUUAUCGGUUCAGUAUAAAGUUGUACUAAACCAGCGACACUUAUUCGAGGAGCCGUCAUGUCGAAAACAGAUGAGCAGGAAACACAGUAGCAAAAUGCUCCGGUGUUCAUCCUUUUUUCUGUGCUUGUGUGCUAGCUCAGAGUUUGUGAUUCUGCAAGGUUUUCACAGGCACCAUUUGUGCAGUUGAACGAAAGAACCAGGCGAACGGACCAAGGAUACAAGACGCAAAGCACCUGCCAUGUCAACCUCAGAUUCAGGCCCGGAGCCAAGAGGUGUACAGUGAACAGUGGAGUGAGUGUUGAGAGAGAUGCAUCUGCAUGGAAGGAGACAGGCGGCCGCUGUGUACCUACGGGCUGCGCGUGAGUGAGCUGAGCUGAGCUGAGCUGGUGCGCACGCAAUUGGGCGUCGGUGUCGCCCGUCCGUCCACCUCCAAUGCCAGCCCCGCAUCCCCUGUCCCGUCCUCUUCCUCCUCGCGCCGCAACCGACGAAUCCUCCCCCAGACCCCCACAUGGCCUCUCACAUGCACCCACCAUAACCAAUUUUCUAUCAUCCCUAACCUCCUCCUCUCGCUUUCUCUAAUCAUAGAUUAAGUGAGUGAAAGUGAAGCCUCACCGCACCACGAGCUCGGUAAGUCCACUGCACCGACGGUUUCAUCCAUCCAACUACCGCGCUCGCUCGCACUCCCCUUUUCUUUAGUGAGCUGCCGUGCAGCUCCGCCACCCACAUCAAAGCGAGCUCACCCCAUCUCCUCCUUCCUCCCUCCCUCCUCCCCUGCUCGCCGCUCUGCUCAAACAAGCAGAUCCAAGCAGCAGCAGCAGAGCGCCGGAGGGACGCCAGGAUGCACGCCAAGACGGACUCGGAGGUGACGAGCCUGGCUCCAUCCUCCCCAGCGCGCUCCCCGCCGCGGGCGGCCGCCAGCAACAACGCCGGGGGCGGCGGCGGGGUGAUGCGCGGCUCGGUGUACUACGUGCAGAGCCCGUCGCGGGACUCGCACGACGGGGAGACCACCACCAAGGGGGCAACCUCCGUGCACUCCACGCCCGCGCUCAGCCCCAUGGCCUCGCCCCGCCACUCCCACUCCUCCGUCGGCCGCGACUCCUCCUCCAGCCGCUUCUCCCGCGGCGCCGCCCACCACAAGGACAAGUCCGGGGGCGGCCGCAAGGGCGCGCCGCCGGGCAAGGGGUGGCAGGAGAUCGGGGUCAUCGAGGAGGAGGGGCUGCUCGACGAGGAGGACCAGCGCCGCCCCAUGCCCAAGCGCUGCAAGUACUGCCUCAUCUUCGUCGGCGGCUUCGCGGUGCUCUUCACCUUCUUCGCGCUCGUGCUCUGGGGCGCCAGCCGCUCCCAGAAGCCGCAGAUCGCCAUGAAGGUACCUUUUUCUUUAUUCUUUCUUGGUUCUUGCUUGCUUGGUUGAUGCGCUUGGAUCUGGAGCUGACGGUUGAUUUUGUGGGGAAACGAACGAAAUGAAACAGAGCAUCACGUUCGAGAACUUCAUCAUCCAGGCCGGCACGGACGCGUCGCUGGUGCCGACGGACAUGGCCACCACCAACGCGACCGUCAAGUUCACCUACAAGAACACCGGCACCUUCUUCGGCAUCCACGUCACCGCCGACCCCUUCACGCUGUCCUACUCCCAGCUCAACCUCGCCGCCGGAGACGUAAGCCUUCCAUCUCUUUCUUCCCCUUUGCAUCAACUGGAUCUGGAGGCCCGUCCGUCAGAUCCAAGAACGAGACUAACCAAAGGUGCGCCUGCAGCUCAAGAAGUUCUACCAGGGGCGGAGCGGGCGGCGGACGGCGAGCGUGAACGUGAAGGGGAACAAGGUGCCGCUGUACGGCAGCGGGCCGACGCUGAUGGCGCAGCCGGCGGGGGGCAAGGGCGGCGCCGGCAAGGUGAUCCCGGUGCCGAUGGUGCUGCGGACGACGGUGCGGUCGCAGGCGUACGUGCUGGGGGCGCUGGUGAAGCCCCGGUUCACCAAGGAGGUGGAGUGCAAGGUGGUGAUGAACCCCGCCAAGCUCAACAAGCCCGUCUCCCUGGAGAAGGCCUGCAAAUACUCAUGAUCUGCUCAUGAUCCAUCCAUCAAUUGGUUGGUUGGUUGAUUGAUCGAUUGAUUGAGUAAUCGAAUCAAUUGGUUGAUCGGUUGAUGAGUAAAUUGUUCUUCUUCUUCUUUUCUUGCUCUGUGCAUUUCUCUCACGUAUGCCUUUUCUUUUUGUGUAUCUAUAUAUGUUGCUCCACUAUAAAUUAUCAAGUUUUGUAAUCGCCGUGGUGGCUGUGACAGUGAUGGACCAACUACUCAGUGGAGUGAUUCUUUUCGGCGUUGCAUUCAUCCUUGCUUAUUUGUUCUUGUAAUUAUGUGUAUGUAUGUAUGUGUUGUUUGCCAAUGCGAAGCAAACCAAAUGACAUAGAGAACAUGUCACUGCUACUUGUUGCGAGUUUUUCCUCUUCUUAUCUACACAACAAGUUGUUGCUCCAUUUGCAAUCGUCAAGAGAGAAAAACUUGUUGCUCCGGGAGCAACAUCGUGUUUGUUAACCAAAGAUGCUAGUAAUUACUCUUCAAGAUUGAAGGAUUAUACACCGGGGAAUGCAGCACUUCACGAUAACAUUUCUUCUAAGCAAGUUUUAAGUCAUGAGGACUUGCUCAACCUUUGUCGCCGCUAGGCCUUGCUUGUUUGUGCUACGGUUUCGGCCGUAGAUUUGUGGCUGUGGCAAAGAUUUUAGCGCGAAACAAGGCGCUUGCCCGGGUUGCUCCAUUUGACAACAUCCUCAUGGCUCAUGUGAAUGGGUUGGACCUACGCCUUCAUUAUUGGUGCCUUUGCUCAUGGGGUUUGGGUUGAGGCCCAUGACCUGAAUAACAUGAACUUCGUAUCAUGGCGUCUUGGGUUGCUUGACGCCGCCACUGCCAAGGUCAUCGACAAGCUCCAAACAGGGAAUUCAAGGGCAAGUCCAUUUACAUCAUACGGAAUAUAUAUACAAAAGUAGUGUAUCCGGGGCAUCUUCAAGUCCCUUGCAACCCCUGUCUUUCGUGUGUCAUUGUUUGUCUAGGCCGCGAUCUCCUCGUGCAGAUUGGUGUUUUUUGCACAAGCGGUGAUCUAAGGCUUUUGGGCUUAUGUUCUUCAUCUUUUUUGCUAGAUGUGGCUGGUUUCAAGGGUUUUCCCUUCUUUCUGGACUUGGAUUUUUAUUUUGACCUCGAUCACCUAUACAUAAACUUCAUUCUCCCUUACGUUGCAGCAUUGAGAUCCUGCCUUCCACGACAAGAAAACCUAUCACUUUAGAAUUCAAAUUAGGGGCACACAAAUUAGGGGGUUGUAAAGUAAUCGAGCUCGAGCAUAUCUUGGUAGCCUUGACUCGAGCUUGGUAAAAGCUUGAGCGAGCCUAACUUACUAUUUGAACUCCAUGUUAGGCCGAGCUUUCCUUGAGUUCGGUAGAAUCGAGCGACCUAAGUUGGUCUUCGAGCUCAUAUCCACAAAGUUUGGUAACUAAAUAAAGUUAACAUUUACUCAUGUCAAAACACACUAAGCUCGACGAUACUCGGAUGGGCUCCAUGUUGAAUCGGCCAAGUGAGACUGCAAUGGAAGAAAACAAUGUUAACUUGUAUAAAAAAUAGAGUAAAUAUGAUAAAUAUUGAGUAAGCUAGAGCUCAGUUCGACAAAAUUACAUAGAUGUAUAUAUAGAAAAGCCUUAUGUAACCAUUCGUGCUUGAGACCGGUAAGCUCGCAAGCUUGAUUCCAGGUUCAAGCUCAGCUCGAUUAGGGCUCAAGUUGAGCUCGAACCCAGCCCAAAUCGAGCCAAACUUGAAUAGAUCAAACAUAUCAUACAACCAUAUACUAGGGUGAGCUCUCAUAUGGCUUUUCAAAACCACAGAGAUAAGUUAACCUUGUGCACAUUUGGUCAAUAUCUUCAAGGAAGUCAAGUGGAUCAUUGAGAUCUAAAAUUUGAAGCUCGAGAUAAUGAUUUACACUAACCUUGAUCUGUCUUUUACUUUUAUAAUGGAUAUGUUGUUUAUUUUUGUGUCAUUUUGGUAUUCAUAUGUACUUUUUCCGCAAAAAAAAUCAUAUGUACUUAGUUUGCUUAAUCAAUAAAAUAUUCUCUUUUUGCUCAAAAGGUUCUAUAAUCUUUCGGUGCAAUAUGCAUCUUUGUAAAUUAGCUAGAGAAUUUACGAAGCCUACCAGUCAGGUUGGUUUCGAUGGGAUUGGUGCCAAAUGAGUUAAGGAGAGGACAAGUGAUUGGUAUCUCCGGAACAGGUAUAGGAUUUAUACAGGUCACAUUUUUUUAGAGACAAUCAAUGUAAAAAUCUAGUGAAAAUCUCUAUAAUCAAGAUCAAAAGAUGGUGGAUUCAAGGACAGACUACUAGUUGACAUUUCAUCCAAUCUAGAAGUAUCACUUUGUUCACAACUAAAGUCGAUAGUCUUGUACUCAAUAAUUGCCAGACAGUUUAUUUGCAAGAUACAUAUACACUCUAAAGACUAACAAGUUUUAUGGAUAUCUAAUGAUCUGAAAAAAGAUACAAAUGGACCCACAAUGUGAUAAAUUUUGGUUUGUUUUGAUUUAUAGCGAAAUCUACUACAAUAGUACAAUUUUUAUAACAUUCCAAAGUAAAUAAAAUAUGUUUGCACUAAAAAUAGUUCCAUUUUAGCACCAGAAAAUAUAUCUCUAAUGAUAAAUAUUGGAAUGUUAUAGUAAAUAUGUAGGGAAUGCUCUAUCCGAUCCAAAAUAAGUGUCAUGAUUUUAGUUUAAAUUUGAACUAAAACCACAACACUUAUUUUGGGUUGGAGAGAGUAUAAAUUAGGGUGUUACCAUUGUUCAUUCUUCUUAUUCUACCUAAAAAUAUAUAAAUUAAGAUAUUAUAUUGAAUUAUGUAUACCAACAUAAUGAACAUAUCUUAGGCGACUAAAUAAGUUAUCAAAAAAUAAAAAAAAUAAGUAUAAAUAUGUGAGAUCACAAAAAAUAUUGAUGUCCAAUUUGUAUGAAAUCUUGUCAAAACACCCCAUAUAAUUGUUUCAUCCUUCAGUUACAUCGGUGAUUGCUGGUCCAGGAAAAGAGUGAGCUACACCGGCCAUGGUGGCGUUAGGUACUCGGGGAAAUAUAGGUGUCAGGAGACAAGGUUAGGAUGUCGCACGUUGCAAACCAGGCAAACACUCCCCUUGAUGCAGUUGAACUAGAAUGUGUAUCAACAAACAGACAUGAAGGUGUAUACGAUGCCCUUUUAGACGUCGCCCACCGACCACGACAUACAAAUGCAGCAUCUGGGCAGGCUAUUGUUGCCGGGAAGCAUAGGCGACCUAGGAAAAGGGGAAGGCCGUCGAAGAUUCGACUUUCUCUUGAAUGAUAUGUAUAUCGUAAAAACCGAACAGUGAUCGCUGAAGUCAAAAGAGACAAAAAAAUAUCCACAGUGUACAACUUUAAGCCACAAGAGGAAAAAAAUUCCCAUUUGCAUCUAUCACUUUUUAGUAUAACCUGAUCACCAAAGAUUAAAAUUCUAACAAACAAUGAUUGAGGCAAGUACUUGAGAGUCAUGAUUAGUAGUAAAGGUACUAUUACCUUUCGCAAUUGCCUUUGCACGGCACAGUUAAGUCUGCAGGAACUUCAUGAUUCGGUUCAAGUGACUUUCUUGAGUGUCCGCAUCGUGGAAGGCGCUCCAUACACUUUUGAAUAUGGAGGCCGAGUUGCUUGCUCCUCACCACCUCACCAAGUUGUGGUCAUGGAUAGUCAAGGUGCUACUAUGGAGGUUAUUGAUCCCCCAUCCACCCAAGUUGUGUUGCUAGAUUCUCGUGAUUGUGAUGGUGGAAAAAUGCCAAUGGGCGAAGAUGGUUACAUUUAACUGUCAGGACAUGUUGCUUCUAUUGAAUUACGAACAAGGAGUACCUAUUCUCAAAAAUUGGAAGAAACCCUGAAAGUUGUCAUACAAGCCUACUCACAGUCUGGCGAUAUUGCUGCGCAAGCUCACGUCAUAUUCAAGCCCAGAUCUUGCAAUACAAGUCGGUAUACAUGUGACCUUGGCAAAUUGAACCCGAGCGAUUGCACUGCAGGCUAACUGAACCCGAGCAAUCGAUCGAUGGUUGUUAACUGAACCUGAUCGAGCGAUUCCUUCUCUACUGCUGCUAACUGAAGCCGAUAGAUAUUGCCUCUCUGGAUGAACAGUGAGCAUUGCGGGGUGGAGGGGGGUUGGAUGAACAGUGAGCGGUGGCGUUGCCUCUGAAUGAACAGGACCCCGUGGUGUGGAGGGCUAGAUGAACAGGACGACCCCGUGGAGGGCUGGAUGAACAGUAGACGGUGAAGGGGUGCCCGUGGAGGGGUGGUUGAACAGUAGCCGGUGGAGUAGCGCGCGGUGGAGGCUGGAUGAACAGGAGUCCGUGGAGGCUGGAGGAGGUUGACGGUAGCCCGUGGAGGCUGGAGGAGGUCGACAGUGGAGAUGAACAUUAUCCCGUGGAGUCCCGUUUUGCGGUACGCCACAUCCCUCCCGAUGAACAGGACCCCCGUUUCGACCGUAGCGCUCCAACAUAAGUCCGUUUCGUCCGUUUUGCGGUACGUCACACCCCUCCCGAUCAACAGGACCCCCGUUUCGACCGUAGGAGGUCCGUUUCAUCCGUUUUGUGGUACGCCACACCCCUCCCGAUCAACAGGACCCCCGUUUCGAUCAUAGGAGGUCCGUUUCCUCCGUUUUGUGGUACGUCAGACCCCUCCCGAUGAACAGGAUCUCGUUUCGAACGUGACCGGUCGAACACAAGGUCGUUUCCUCCGUUCUGCGGUACGCCAGGCCUCGCUUCCAUCGCCUGUUCCGUCCAAGUCCUGUUGGUCGCGCGCCACCUCUGGCCACCGCAGCCUUGGUGACGGUGCUACGGGUGGGGUUAAUGGGCAGGGAAGAGCUCUGCUCAAUGGCGUAGCUAGGGGGUGGGCAGGGUGGUCCAUGGACCACCCUGGAAUUUCCCCAUAGCUUGUACAUAGUGCAGUAAAAAAUAUUUCUUUAAAAAUAAUUAAUUUUAUGUAAAUAUUUUUAUCAAUGGACCAGCCCUGACAUAUUGGGCUGGCUACGCCACUGGCUCUGCUUCGUCGAUUUGCCCCGCACCCCCUCCCGUCGGCCAGUAAUCAAUCGGCUGAGGACGAGCGAAUGAAGGCGAGCGAGCUUCAGGCAGCAGCACAAGGGCCUCUCCAACCGACACCUAAACUUCCCUCCGCUGGAGCUAGUGUCAAUUGCCCUAUGCAUGGCCCAAACCUAGCCGCGAACCGAUCGACCUGAUCCAUAAGUACCAUCUUGAAUCCUACACCAACUCGUACAUGUGCUAGCAUGGAGGAACUUUUCAGUUCGGUUCAAGCCACUUUCUUGGGUGUCCGCGUCGUAGGACCCGGUCCGUGCCCUUUCAAACACGGAGGACGGGUCGCUUGCUCCUCGCCAAUUCACGAAGUCGUGGUCAUGGAUCAUCAAGGCAUUGCUGUGGAGGUUAUCGAUCCCCCAUCCACCCAGAUCGUGUUGCUCGAUUCUCAUCACUGUCAUUGUGGGAUAAUGCCAAUGGGCGAAGAUGGCUACCUUGAUCUGUCGAGGCGUUCUGUUUCGGUAAAACUGCGACACGAGAAAUCUUUUCGUCAACGGUUCAUGGAAAACCUCAAAGUUGUCUUUCAAGCCUACUCAGAGUCCGGUGGUAUCGCGGCGCAAGGUCAUGUCAAGGUCACGCCCCAAACGUGCAACAUAAGUCGACAUUUAUGCGACCUUGGCGACUCUAAGGUCGAGAUUACCAUUGCUUGGUCGGCUAUUCUUAUGAAGGCCUGAAAGCCGUCUUUCGUGACGGCAUUGCUGCGCAAGAUCAUGUCAAGUUCAGGACCAAAACAAACAAAAAUGUGAGAUUGGCAACUCUAAGGUGGAGACUACCGUUGCUUUGUAUGCUAUUGUAAAGUCCCAUAGGAUUCAGUAAUAUGUUUGAUUGAUGGUGCUCCGGCCUGAAUGUUAUGGGGUAUGGUACCUUUUGCUCAGUUAUAUCGAAUGUUAUGGAGUAUGGUACCUUUUGCUCAGUUACAUCUAUAUAUCCAUUUCUGUUUUGCCAAUACGUAGCUGUAUGUUCAAGUACUUGUUCGUCGGUCAGCUAUGUAAAAUGUCCCAACUAUUUGUGCAUCGAUUAUAAAAUUUUCGAGUUGUGUUGUGUCAAGUAUUAUGUUUCCAGUACUACUAAAGCUUGUGUUUGUUUGUUUGAUUUUGAGACUAUGGAACCUUGUAUGCACACUUUGCUGCUUUGAUUAAUAAGAGGGCCGUAUGCAUCAUUCUAGAUGCAGAGGCCGGGGUACCCCCUUUUCGAAAAAAAAAGAAAAAAAAAACUAAAGCUUGUAAGUUAUGGCGUGUGAAGUAUUCUGCCAGCACACUCACACAGCAAAACAAACGCAUACCACAAAAUUUCCACAAACAAUGUGUCUUUCUUUGUAUGAACCAGUCUGCAGCACCAACAGAUAAUACCUCAGUCUUCGCCUCUAGGUCCGAGUUCCGACCUCGCCUCGCCGACCACGCAAAUCGUACCGGACUUUUACCGCGCAGAGGAGCAAAAUUUCCUCUUCUGAAACAAUGCCUGAGCAGAGGGAUUUCCUCUUUUGAAACAGAGCCUCAUCAUUCAGAGGGUUUCAGGUUCAGCGGGAUUUCCUCUUUUUGAAACAGAGUCUGAUCAUUCAGAGGGUUUCAGGGGGAGAGUGAGCCUGGCCACCCUCGAGCAGCAUGCUGCGGCUGCAGUAGGACCUCGUCGUGCUCGACGACGAAUGCAGGGACCGCAUGUCGCCGCCGCCGC
rnacentral:lncRNA from 1 species